GCCUGGAUAGCUCGGCUGGUUAGAGCAUGGUGCUGAUAACGCCAGGGUUGCAGGUUUGAUCCCACUGCAUAUUCCUGCAUUGCAGGGG